rnacentral:piRNA from 1 species
UGCCAGUGAAACACAUGCAGAGCCCCUUUGUU